UACGUAGGGUGCAAGCGUUAUCCGGAAUUAUUGGGCGUAAAGAGCUCGUAGGCGGUUUGUCGCGUCUGCUGUGAAAACUGGAGGCUCAACCUCCGGCCUGCAGUGGGUACGGGCAGACUAGAGUGCGGUAGGGGAGAUUGGAAUUCCUGGUGUAGCGGUGGAAUGCGCAGAUAUCAGGAGGAACACCGAUGGCGAAGGCAGAUCUCUGGGCCGUAACUGACGCUGAGACGCGAAAGCGUGGGGAGCGAACAGG
rnacentral:rRNA from 1 species